rnacentral:rRNA from 1 species
AAAUCCGCUCUUUAAUCUGAAGACGUGAUGUGGACUGAAAAUAAGUAGGGAAGCACGUGAGCUGACUGUCAAGAAAAGCCGCUAUUGUUUGCAGGAUACCCGUACCGUAAACCGACACAGGUGGAUGAGGAGAGAAUCCUAAGGCCGACGGGAGAAGCAUUGUUAAGGAACUCGGCAAAAUGACUCCGUAACUUCGGGAGAAGGAGUGCCAGUAAGAUGGCCGCAGAGAAUUGGCCCAAGCAACUGUUUAGCAAAAACACAGGUCUAUGCAAAACCGAAAGGUGAGGUAUAUGGGCUGACGCCUGCCCGGUGCUGGAAGGUUAAGGGGAGAGGUUAGCGCAAGCGAAGCUUUGAACUUAAGCCCCAGUAAACGGCGGCCAUAACAAUAACGGUCCUAAGGUAGCGAAAUUCCUUGUCGGGUAAGUUCCGACCCGCACGAAAGGCGUAAUGAUUUGGGCACUGUCUCAACAAUGCACCCGGUGAAAUUGAAAUACCAGUGAAGAUGCUGGUUACCUGCGCCAGGACGGAAAGACCCCAUGGAGCUUUACUCCAGCUUGAUACUGGGAUUCGGUAUUGCAUGUACAGGAUAGGUGGGAGGCUAGGAAAUGGUAACGCCAGUUGCCGUGGAGCCAAUGUUGGGAUACCACCCUUGCAGUACUGGGUUUCUAACCAGCAGCCGUGAUCCGGCUGGGGGACAAUGUCAGGUGGGGAGUUUGACUGGGGCGGUCGCCUCCGAAAGGGUAUCGGGGGCGCUCAAAGGUUCCCUCAGAAUGGUUGGAAACCAUUCGAAGAGUGCAAAGGCAGAAGGGAGCUUGACUGCGACACCGACGGGUGGAGCAGGUACGAAAGUAGGACUUAGUGAUCCGGUGGUAUAAAGUGGGAUUGCCAUCGCUCAACGGAUAAAAACUACCCUGGGAUAACAGGCUUAUCACUCCCAAGAGUUCACAUCGACGGAGUGGUUUGGCACCUCGAUGUCGGCUCAUCGCAUCCUGGGGCUGAAGUAGGUCCCAAGGGUUGGGCUGUUCGCCCAUUAAAGCGGUACGCGAGCUGGGUUCAGAACGUCGUGAGACAGUUCGGUCCCUAUCCGGCGUGGGCGUAAGAUAUUUGAGGGGAGCUGUCCUUAGUACGAGAGGACCGGGAUGGACUGGCCGCUGGUGUAUCUGUUGUCUUACCAAAGGCAUAGCAGAGUAGCCAAGCCGGGAAGGGAUAAACGCUGAAGGCAUCUAAGCGUGAAGCCCCCCUCAAGAUGAGAUAUCUCAUAACGUCAAGUUAGUAAGACCCCUUGAAGACGACGAGGUAGAUAGGGCAGAGGUGGAAGUGUGGUAACACAUGGAGCUGACUGUUACUAAUAGGUCGAGGGCAUAACCG